rnacentral:rRNA from 1 species
UACGGAGGGUGCAAGCGUUACCCGGAAUCACUGGGCGUAAAGGGCGUGUAGGCGGCUCAGUCAGUCUGACUUUAAAGACCGAAGCUCAACUUCGGGCAUGGGUUGGAUACUGCUGAGCUAGACGGAUGGAGAGGUCACUGGAAUUCCUGGUGUAGCGGUGGAAUGCGUAGAUAUCAGGAGGAACACCUGUGGCGAAAGCGGCGCACUGGACCACAACUGACGCUGAGGCGCGAAAGCUAGGGGGAGCAAACAGG